AGAGUAUAUGGAUAGACAUUUAUUGAUUCAUUAAUGUAUAUAUGUUGGGGUUUUCACUGUAUGAGGAGGCGGAGUCACACUCUAGGGCUGUACAAUCGAGAGCAUGCUGCACAAUCGAGAGCAUCCAUUUCAGGCUGUAUCACCGCCUGGUAUGGCAACUGCUCCGACCACAACCGACACCUACACCACCCGAUGUCACAGGAAGGCCAAAAAGAUCAUCAAGGACAACAACCACCCGAGCCACUGCCUGUUCACCCCGCUAUCAUCCAGAAGGCGAGAAUGUGGUGAUCGAUGGUAUCAAAAGCGGCACUAAGAUCUAGGAGCAC
rnacentral:lncRNA from 1 species